rnacentral:rRNA from 1 species
UACGGGGGGAGCAAGCGUUGUUCGGAUUCAUUGGGCGUAAAGGGCGCGUAGGCGGCGAGGUAAGUCGGGUGUGAAAUCUCAGAGCUCAACUCUGAAACUGCACUCGAUACUGCUUUGCUAGAGGACUGGAGAGGAGAUUGGAAUUCACGGUGUAGCAGUGAAAUGCGUAGAUAUCGUGAGGAAGACCAGUGGCGAAGGCGGAUCUCUGGACAGUUCCUGACGCUGAGGCGCGAAGGCCAGGGGAGCAAACGGG